UACGGAGGAUGCGAGCGUUAUCCGGAUUUAUUGGGUUUAAAGGGUGCGUAGGCGGGCUUUUAAGUCAGCGGUAAAAAUUCGGGGCUCAACCCCGUCCGGCCGUUGAAACUGCAGGGCUUGAGUGAAGUAGAGGUAGGCGGAAUUCCCGGUGUAGCGGUGAAAUGCGUAGAGAUCGGGAGGAACACCAGUGGCGAAGGCGGCCUACUGGGCUUUAACUGACGCUGAGGCACGAAAGCGUGGGGAGCAAACAGG
rnacentral:rRNA from 1 species